rnacentral:rRNA from 1 species
GAUGAACGCUGGCGGCGUGCUUAACACAUGCAAGUCGAACGAAGCACUUUUGACAGAUUCUUCGGAUGAUGGAUUUAGUGACUGAGUGGCGGACGGGUGAGUAACGCGUGGGUAACCUGCCUCAUACAGGGGGAUAACACAGGGAAACUUGUGCUAAUACCGCAUGACGCAUACAUGAAGCAUUUUCAGGUAUGUUAAAGGAGCAAUCCGCACAAAGAUGGGCUCGCGUCUGAUUAGAUAGUUGGUGAGGUAACGGCUCACCAAGUCGACGAUCAGUAGCCGGACUGAGAGGUUGAACGGCCACAUUGGAACUGAGAUACGGUCCAGACUCCUACGGGAGGCAGCAGUGGGAANAUUGGGCAAUGGGCGCAAGCCUGACCCAGCGACGCCGCGUGAGGGAAGAAAGGGUCUUCGGAUUGUAAACCUUUGUUGACAGGGAAGAAGAAAG